UCUGGUUGAUCCUGCCAGUAGUCAUAUGCUUGUCUCAAAGGUUAAGCCAUGCAUGUCUAAGUAUAAAUCAUUAUACGGUGAAACUGCGAAUGGCUCAUUAAAACAGCAAUAGUUUAUUCGAUAAUUGAAUUCUAUUUGGAUAACCGUAGUAAUUCUAGAGCUAAUACAUGCUGUCAAACCUGACUUCGCGGAAGGGUUGUAUUUAUUAGAUAAAAACCAAUAUUCUGCCUCUCGGGGUAGUCUAUUGCGAUGAUUCACAAUAACUGAUCGAAUCGCAUAGCCUUUGAGCUGCGAUAAAUCGUUCAAGUUUCUGCCCUAUCAGCUUUCGAUGGUAGUGUAUUGGACUACCAUGGCAUUAACGGGUAACGGAGAAUUAGGGUUCGAUUCCGGAGAGGGAGCCUGAGAAACGGCUACCACAUCUAAGGAAGGCAGCAGGCGCGUAAAUUACCCAAUCCUAAUUCAGGGAGGUAGUGACAAGAAAUAACAACUCGGGACCACUGGUUCUGAGAUUGCAAUGAAAACAACUUAAAACCCUUACUGAGGAUCAAUUGGAGGGCAAGUCUGGUGCCAGCAGCCGCGGUAAUUCCAGCUCCAAUAGCGUAUAUUAAUGUUGUUGCAGUUAAAAAGUUCGUAGUUGAAUUUCUGAGUAGUCCACGGCGUCUGCCUUAACGGGUGUGAACGUCGAUCGGGCUGCUCAUCCUUCUGAAGAACCUAUGUGGCAUUCAUUUGUCGUGUAGGGGAUCAGAUACUUUACCUUGAAAAAAUUAGAGUGUUUCAGGCAGGCAAUCGCCGGAAUACAUUAGCAUGGAUAAUUGAAUAGGACUUCCGGUUCUAUUUGUUGGUUUUGUGGACCGAAGUAAUGAUUAAUAGGGAUAGUUGGGGGCAUUCGUAUUUAAUUGUCAGAGGUGAAAUUCACGGAUUUGUUAACACGAACUUAUGCGAAAGCAUUUGCCAAGGAUGUUUUCAUUAAUCAAGAACGAAAGUUAGGGGAUCAAAGACGAUCAGAUACCGUCCUAGUCUUAACCAUAAACUAUGCCGACUAGGGAUUGGAGAUGCCAUAUCAAAUACUUCUUCAGCACCUUAUGAGAAAUCAAAGUCUUUGGGUUCCGGGGGGAGUAUGGUCGCAAGGCUGAAACUUAAAGGAAUCGACGGAAGGGCACCACCAGGAGUGGAGCCUGCGGCUUAAUUUGACCCAACACGGGGAAACUUACCAGGUCCAGACAUAGGAAGGAUUGACAGUCUGAGAGCGCUUUCUUGAUUCUAUGGGUGGUGGUGCAUGGCCGUUCUUAGUUGGUGGAGUGAUUUGUCUGGUUAAUUCCGUUAACGAACGAGACCUUAACCUGCUAAAUAGUUGCGCG
rnacentral:rRNA from 1 species